UGACAAUGCACCGUUUGAAUUCGCAUAAGUGCACAGUACAAUACGUGUUCCAGUUCGGAAUAACAAGAAAUAACACGCAACCAUGAAAUCUGCAAAAUUUGCGAUUGCUGCAGCAGCCACGCUGACGUUCUCUUUAAUUUCUUACGCGACAACGUAUGCUGACGCUGAAGCUAUAGACCCGGGAACUGUGAAAUCCCUUCUUGGUCGCUAACUCGAAACACUAGAUAAAGUACUAUGAAGAUUUCUCAUUUGUCAAAUGUAUUACGAAUAUUUCUAAUUAAUUAAAAAUACUAAGAAUGUUCCGAAAGUUAAAAGUACUCUGAAUGUUCCUAAUUUGUUAAAAGAAUUAUGAAAAUAAAGGAAUAAUUAAUCAA